rnacentral:rRNA from 1 species
UACGAAGGGGGCUAGCGUUGUUCGGAAUUACUGGGCGUAAAGCGCACGUAGGCGGAUCGAUCAGUCAGGGGUGAAAUCCCAGGGCUCAACCCUGGAACUGCCUUUGAUACUGUCGAUCUGGAGUAUGGAAGAGGUGAGUGGAAUUCCGAGUGUAGAGGUGAAAUUCGUAGAUAUUCGGAGGAACACCAGUGGCGAAGGCGGCUCACUGGUCCAUUACUGACGCUGAGGUGCGAAAGCGUGGGGAGCAAACAGGGAUUAAGAAACC